rnacentral:rRNA from 1 species
GGAAGUAAAUGUCGUAACAAGGUCUCCGUUGGUGAACCAGCG